GGGAAAUGAUCGGACAUAACAACUAAGACAUGGAGAUAUUAUCCAAUUCACUAUCUCCAAAUCAUCAUGAACCAAAUAAAUUUACUUUUAAACUCUAUACUCUUGGUUUAGUUACAAUAAAUUGUUAUUAAUAAGCAUUGUUUGGGUCAUACAGGUGAUGUUAUGCGAGAUCUCCUCUAAGAAAUAACAAAAUAGAUUCUCUCAAAGUUUGAGGAUUCAAUUCAGAUGAUCAGGCAUGCACAAUAUUUUCAAGGAUUCUCGAUGCAAGGGAUCAAGUUCAACAAAUCAAUUUUUUUUACCUUUUCUUAUAUAUUGAUGGAUUUAAUCCUUGAUCUUUCUGGUCAAAUCUCAUGUUCUUUGAAUCAGUUUCAGAUACGAACUAUAUUUGACUCGAUUCUUAUUUCAGUACGAUACAUACGCAAUCCUACAUAAGGAUUCGGUAUUCCCUGAUCCUCAGAGAAAAUUGAGGCCUAUCUUUAAAACAAUCAAUUCUUCUUUUGCACACUGUUUCAAUUAAGUGCCUUUGAACUAAAAACAGAGGCAGCCUUUUGAAAUCUUCUAAUAAUUUCAAGAAUCUUCAUUUAAAUUUCAACUUCAUAAAUGUUAUUAAUCAACCAUAUCUCUCUUUAUAAGAGGUUCCAUAUAAAGUAGGGAUACACUUUAUGGGACAUCCUUAAUCGGCUCUUAGAAUCUCUCUUAACACGUCUGUAUAGGGUUAUAAGCUUUCUAAGGUUACCUAAUCAUUAUGAUCUAUUCAAAUGGUUCGAUUAUGUCAAUAUAUUUGUUGUUCAACUAACAAGUUUUGUGAGUGAAGAAAGUUUUGCUCAUUUUUUUAAAUAAAUGAGUUGGAUUAUCACUUUGUUUGAAGUUGGCAUAUCUUAU
rnacentral:lncRNA from 1 species